rnacentral:misc_RNA from 1 species
GAAAUGCGAUACGUAAUGUGAAUUGCAGAAUUCAGUGAAUCAUCGAAUCUUUGAACGCAUAUUGCACUCUUUGGUAAUCCGAAGAGUAUGCCUGUUUCAGUAUCAUUAAUAAACAAUCAGAAAAGAAUUUUUUUUCUUUUUCUGGAGUUGAGCAUUUUGUCUUUUUGAAAAAAAGGGCUGGCUUUAAAAGAGAAUUUAUAAUCAGGAAAGUCAGAUUUUUAUAAAUCUGGAAUUUUUUUUUUUAAAAACCAAGUUGAAAUUAAGGCGGUAAAUAGUUGGCUUUUUAAGAAAGUUAUCUUUCGCUGAAAAAUAUCAUCUUGACAGAUAAAAGAAAAAUAUAACAUUAAUUUGAUCUGAAAUCAGGUAGGACUACCCGCUGAACUUAA